AACAUGAUGACUCUCGACAACGGAUAUCUCGGCUCUCGCAUCGAUGAAGAACGCAGCGAAAUGCGAUACUUGGUGUGAAUUGCAGAAUCCCGCGAAUCAUCGAGUCUUUGAACGCAAGUUGCGCCCGAGGCCAUUAGGCUAAGGGCAUGUCUG
rnacentral:rRNA from 1 species